GACGAACGCUGGCGGCGUGCUUAACACAUGCAAGUCGAACGAAGAGCGACGGAAGCUUGCUUCUAUCAAUCUUAGUGGCGAACGGGUGAGUAACGCGUAAUCAACCUGCCCUUCAGAGGGGGACAACAGUUGGAAACGACUGCUAAUACCGCAUACGAUCUAACCUCGGCAUCGAGGAUAGAUGAAAGGUGGCCUCUACAUGUAAGCUAUCACUGAAGGAGGGGAUUGCGUCUGAUUAGCUAGUUGGGGGGGUAACGGCCCACCAAGGCGAUGAUCAGUAGCCGGUCUGAGAGGAUGAACGGCCACAUUGGGACUGAGACACGGCCCAGACUCCUACGGGGGGCAGCAGUGGGGAAUCUUCCGCAAUGGACGAAAGUCUGACGGAGCAACGCCGCGUGAGUGAUGACGGCCUUCGGGUUGUAAAGCUCUGUUAAUCGGGACGAAAGGCCUUCUUGCGAAUAGUGAGAAGGAUUGACGGUACCGGAAUAGAAAGCCACGGCUAACUACGUG
rnacentral:rRNA from 1 species